rnacentral:rRNA from 1 species
ACGCUCGACACCUACGGGGGCAGCAGUGGGGAAUAUUGGGCAAUGGGCGCAAGCCUGACCCAGCAACGCCGCGUGAAGGAAGAAGGCUUUCGAGUUGUAAACUUCUUUUAUUAAGGACGAAGCAAUGACGGUACUUAAUGAAUAAGCUCCGGCUAACUACGUGUCAGCAGCCGCGGUAAUCUGAGCGGGCUGGCAAGGC